UACGAAGGGGGCUAGCGUUGCUCGGAAUCACUGGGCGUAAAGGGUGCGUAGGCGGGUUAUUAAGUCAGAGGUGAAAUCCUGGAGCUCAACUCCAGAACUGCCUUUGAUACUGAUAGUCUUGAGUAUGGGAGAGGUGAGUGGAACUGCGAGUGUAGAGGUGAAAUUCGUAGAUAUUCGCAAGAACACCAGUGGCGAAGGCGGCUCACUGGCCCAUAACUGACGCUGAGGCGCGAAAAGCUAGGGGAGCAAACAGGG
rnacentral:rRNA from 1 species